CGAUUCUGGCUCAGAUUGAACGCUGGCGGCGUGCUUAACACAUGCAAGUCGCGCGUGAAAGGACUUCGGUCCGAGUAAAGCGGCGCACGGGUGAGUAACGCGUGGAUGAUCUACCCAUGAGUUAGGAAUAACGGCUGGAAACGGUCGCUAAUACCAAAUACGCUCCGAUUUCAACUUCGGGGGAAAGGUGGCCUCUGCUUGCAAGCUACUGCUCAUGGAUGAGUCCGCGUCCCAUUAGCUAGUUGGUGGGGUAACGGCCCACCAAGGCGACGAUGGGUAGCCGGUCUGAGAGGAUGACCGGCCACACUGGGACUGGAACACGGCCCAGACUCCUACGGGAGGCAGCAGUGGGGAAUAUUGCGCAAUGGGCGAAAGCCUGACGCAGCGACGCCGCGUGAGGGAUGAAGGUCCUCGGAUCGUAAACCUCUGUCAGGAGGGAAGAACCGCCACGGUGCUAAUCAGCCGUGGUCUGACGGUACCUCCAAAGGAAGCACCGGCUAACUCCGUGCCAGCCGCAGC
rnacentral:rRNA from 1 species